rnacentral:rRNA from 1 species
CCCUUAGAUGUCCUGAGCCGCACGCGCGCUACACUGAUGCAUGCAACGAGUUUAUAACCUUGGCCUGAAAGGUCUGGGUAAUCUUUUGAACGUGCAUCGUGAUAGGGAUAGAUUAUUGCAAUUGUUAAUCUUGAACGAGGAAUUCCUAGUAAACGCGAGUCAUCAGCUCGCAUUGAUUACGUCCCUGCCCUUUGUACACACCGCCCGUCGCACCUACCGAUUGAAUGGUUCGGUGAAGAUCUCGGACUUCGAUAUUUAUUCUUUAUUGAGUUUAUAUUGUGGGAAGUUAUCUAAACCUCAUCAUUUAGAGGAAGGUGAAGUCGUAACA